AUUAAUAAAAUUAUUAAUAAAAAUUUUAAAUAAAUUAUUAUUAAGUUUAAUUAUAAUAAUAGAAAAAAUAAUUUUAAUUAUAGUUUAUAGUAUAGUGAUAGAAAAUUUAAAUAUAUUGAAAAUUUAAAUUUUAAAAAGAAUAAUUAAUUUUUAGUACCUUGUGUAUCAGGGUUUAUUAAUUAAAAUUUAUAUAUUUUAAAUUUCUCGAUAUUAAAAGAGUUAAGUAUUUAUAUUUUUUAAUGUAUAAUAAUUAUUAUAAAUAAAUAUUUAGUAAUGAAAUGUUAUUCGUUUUUAAUUAUAUCUAGUUUUUUAAGAAAUAAAUUUAAUUUAUUUGUUAAUAAAAAUUAAUUUUAAUUAAUAAAAUUAAUUUUAUUUAAUAUUAAAUAUUUUAAGGGAUAAGCUUUAAAAUAAAUUUAUAUAAUAAAUUUGUUAAUAGAAAUUAAAUGUAGGAUUAAAAAUUUUUUUCAUUAAUAAUUUGUUAUAAUUAAUUUUUUUAUAAAAUUAUUUAUAUAUUAUUUAUAUAUUUUAUUAAAAUUAUUUAUUUAAUUUUUAAAUAUAUGUAAUAAUGAUAAAAUUAGUAUAAUUUAUUGUAUAUUUAAAUUAAUUGUUAAAGGUUAAAUUAAGGAAUUCGGCAAAUAAUUUUUCGCCUGUUUAAUAAAAACAUGUCUUUUUGAUUAUAAUUUAAAGUCUAACCUGCCCAAUGAAAGUUUUAAUGGCCGCAGUAUUUUGACUGUGCAAAGGUAGCAUAAUCAUUAGUUUUUUAAUUGAAAGCUUGUAUGAAUGGUUGGACGAGAAAAUUACUGUCUCAAUUUAAUUUUAUUAAAAUUUUAUUUUUAAGUUAAAAAGCUUAAAUAAACUUAAAAGACGAGAAGACCCUAUAGAGUUUUAUUAUUAAAGAUUUAUUGUUUUAUAAAUAUUUUUUAAAUUAUUUAGUAAUUUUAUUGGGGUGAUAAAUAAAUUUAAUUAACUUUAUUUUUUAUUAAACAUUAAUAUAUGAUUUUUUGAUCCAUUAAUAGUGAUUAUAAGAUUAAAUUACCUUAGGGAUAACAGCGUUAUCUUUUUUCAGAGUUCAAAUCGAAAAAAAGGAUUGCGACCUCGAUGUUGGAUUAAAGUUUAUGUUUGGUGUAGAAGCUAAAAUAUUAAGUCUGUUCGACUUUUAAAACUUUACAUGAUCUGAGUUUAAACCGGUGUGAGCCAGGUUGGUUUCUAUCUUUAAGUAAAAUAAAAUAUUUUAGUACGAAAGGACCAAAUAUUUAUAAUAAUUAUUAUUAUUUGAAUGUUAGUA
rnacentral:rRNA from 1 species